ACUCAGACUCAGCCUCAGACUCAGCCUCAAUCUCAGCCUCAAACUCGGAGUCGAACCAAUGCUUGGUCCCAAGGUACUGUCAACACCGUAAGGUGGUAUGGGCCUCAAGUAGGACCGCAAGCAGUAGGUCAGUCUACUCGGUCGCAACCUUGGACCCAAACCAAUGUCAUUUCCCCUGGUACUGUCAACACUGUAAAGUGGUAUGGGCCGCAAGUAGAGCAUCCUCAGUCACAACCUCAGCAGCAUCAGUCAAAU